rnacentral:rRNA from 1 species
UACGGAGGGUGCAAGCGUUAAUCGGAAUUAUUGGGCGUAAAGGGUGCGUAGGCGGUCUUAUAAGUUGGAUGUGAAAGCCCUGGGCUCAACCUGGGAACUGCAUUCAAAACUGUAAGGCUGGAGUGGAGUAGAGGGUAAUGGAAUUUCCUGUGUAGCAGUAAAAUGCUUAGAGAUUGGAAGGAACACCAGAAGCGAAGGCUAUUACCUGGGCUCUCACUGACGCUGAGGCACGAAAGCGUGGGGAUCAAACAGG